rnacentral:rRNA from 1 species
AUAUCACCGAAGCUGUGACUUCAUAUUAAUAUGAGGGGUAGGGGAGCAUUGUAACUGCGUCGAAGGUGUACCUGCGAGGGAUGCUGGAGCGGUUACAAACGAAAAUGUAGGCAUAAGUAACGAUAAUGCGGGCGAGAAACCCGCACGCCGAAAGACCAAGGUUUCCCCAGCUAUGCUAAUCAGCUGGGGGUCAGUCGGGACCUAACGCGAACCCGAAGGGGAUAGUGGAUGGACAACAGAUUAAUAUUUCUGUACCUGCUCACGCUAAAAGUGACGGAGGCGAGAAGUUGGUGCGUACAGACGGAAUUGUACGUUGAAGGGAGCGGUAACGCCCCGAUAGUACACCGAGACCACGGUCAAGGUGAUAAUCCAGCAUAUCGACUUCCAAGAAAAGCAAGUGAAGCAGCCCGUACCGUAAACCGACACAGGUGGUUGGGAUGAGUAUUCUAAGGCGCUCGAGAGAUUCAUGGCUAAGGAACUAGGCAAAAUAGACCCGUAACUUCGGGAGAAGGGUCGCCCCCUUAUGGGGGGCCGCAGUGAAGAGGUCCAGGCGACUGUUUAUCAAAAACACAGGGCUCUGCAAAAUCGAAAGAUGAAGUAUAGGGCCUGACACCUGCCCGGUGCUGGAAGGUUAAGAGGAGAUGUCAUUCCUUCGGGGAGAAGCAUUGAAUUGAAGCCCCAGUAAACGGCGGCCGUAACUAUAACGGUCCUAAGGUAGCGAAAUUCCUUGUCGGGUAAGUUCCGACCUGCACGAAUGGUGCAACGAUCUGGACACUGUCUCGGCCAUGAGCUCGGUGAAAUUGUAGUAUCGGUGAAGAUGCCGGUUACCCGCAGUGGGACGAAAAGACCCCGUGCACCUUUACUAUAGCUUCGUAUUGACCUUGGUCAAGCAAUGUGUAGGAUAGCUGGGAGACUUUGAAGCUGCAUCGCUAGGUGUGGUGGAGUCAUUGUUGAAAUACCAGCCUUUGCUUGUCCGGGGCCUAACUCUCGAUGAGAGAACAGUGCGUGGUGGGUAGUUUGACUGGGGUGGUCGCCUCCAAAAGAGUAACGGAGGCUUCUAAAGGUGCCCUCAAUACGGUUGGCAAUCGUGUGUAGAGUGCAAUGGCACAAGGGCGCUUGACUGAGAGACAUACAGGUCGAUCAGGUUGGAAACAAGAGCAUAGUGAUCCGGUGGUUCCGCAUGGAAGGGCCAUCGCUCAAAGGAUAAAAGGUACGCCGGGGAUAACAGG